rnacentral:rRNA from 1 species
CACGUAGGGGGCGAGCGUUGUCCGGAUUUAUUGGGCGUAAAGAGCUCGUAGGCGGCUCAGUAAGUCGGGUGUGAAAACUCCAGGCUCAACCUGGAGACGCCACCCGAUACUGCUGUGGCUAGAGUCCGGUAGGGGAGCAUGGAAUUCCUGGUGUAGCGGUGAAAUGCGCAGAUAUCAGGAGGAACACCAGUGGCGAAGGCGGUGCUCUGGGCCGGAACUGACGCUGAGACGCGAAAGCGUGGGGAGCGAACAGG